GACGAACGCUGGCGGCGUGCCUAAUACAUGCAAGUAGAACGCUGAAGAGAGGAGCUUGCUCUUCUUGGAUGAGUUGCGAACGGGUGAGUAACGCGUAGGUAACCUGCCUUGUAGCGGGGGAUAACUAUUGGAAACGAUAGCUAAUACCGCAUAACAAUGGAUGACACAUGUCAUUUAUUUGAAAGGGGCAAUUGCUCCACUACAAGAUGGACCUGCGUUGUAUUAGCUAGUAGGUGAGGUAAUGGCUCACCUAGGCGACGAUACAUAGCCGACCUGAGAGGGUGAUCGGCCACACUGGAACUGAGACACGGCCCAGACUCCUACGGGAGGCAGCAGUAGGGAAUCUUCGGCAAUGGGGGAAACCCUGACCGAGCAACGCCGCGUGAGUGAAGAAGGUCUUCGGAUCGUAAAGCUCUGUUGUAAGUCAAGAACGGGUGUGAAAGUGGAAAGUUCACACUGUGACGGUAGCUAACAAGAAAGGAACGGCUAACUACGU
rnacentral:rRNA from 1 species